GCGGCGUGGGGGAAGGGAAUGAAAUAGGAUUAGACUGGAGAGGACAUUAGGCGGUGCUGCAGUCGUCACAACGGCUGGAGCUUGGCGGUUUAGAAUUCCCUUCAUCAUUGUCACAAUUCGAAGAAAGAAAGCUGAGGCAUUUGUUUGAUGCGGGCUGCCCCUGGGCAAGAGCUGGGGGUGCCACUUGGCAGGGCAACUGCCUUCUUCUUCCUGUGCCUCUCAGCUUCCCCCAGAGACACUUCGCCUUGGUUGAAGCACCAGCUGUGCCUUUCCUGGGUCUCCAGCUGAGUCGUUUGCAGUUAACCAGACAGAAUUAUCAGCAUGAGAGUAAGCAAUAAAAGCAGGAAGUAGGAAGCUGAGCUGCAGAGAAGACACUCAGAGAAUUGCAAAGAAGAAUCUGUGACCAGACCAGCUGCCUAGAAGAAGCAGAAACCAGACCAGCUGCUUGAAAGAGGUUUAGACCAACAGAGGCAACUGGAAAGGACACUCUCCAACCUGUUGAGCUGCCUGCAAGCUGUGCAGUGUGCUCCAGGUUCCCAGCUUUAGUGAGCUGUCACUCAUGCUGGGGUGGGCUUUGGUGAUGUAGCUGUCUUUGAGUCAUUUCUGCUCCUGUAAGUAACCUCUCACCCAUACUCCUGUA